rnacentral:ncRNA from 2 species
AGAUCAUCGAGAGCAGCAGAAGGACUGGCCUAAUGAAGCUGCGGCAACCUCCAGAAAUGGGUGGUGCCAAUUCCAGCAGGAGUAAUAUGCCUGAUAGAUGAGCG